rnacentral:rRNA from 1 species
UACGUAGGUGGCAAGCGUUGUCCGGAUUUAUUGGGUUUAAAGGGUGCGUAGGCGGUUAUAUAAGUCAGUUCUGAAAUAUCCCGGCUUAACCGGGAGGGUGGCAUUGAUACUGUAUGACUUGAGUAAAGUUGAGGUUGGCGGAAUUGACGGUGUAGCGGUGAAAUGCUUAGAUAUCGUCAAGAACACCGAUAGUGAAGACAGCUAACUAAGCUUUAACUGACGCUGAGGCACGAAAGUGUGGGGAUCAAACAGG